ACGGCUCAGUAACACGUGGACAACCUACCCUUAGGACAGGUAUAAACCCGGGAAACUGGGUAUAAUCCCUGAUAGUCCUCGACUGCUGGAAUGCAUCGAGGCCGAAAGCUCCGGCGCCUAAGGAUGGGUCUGCGGCCUAUCAGGUAGUAGUGGGUCUAAAGUACCUACUAGCCUACGACGGGUACGGGUUGUGAGAGCAAGAGCCCGGAGAUGGAUUCUGAGACGCGAAUCCAGGCCCUACGGGGUGCAGCAGGCGCGAAAACUUUACAAUGCCGGCAACGGCGAUAAGGGGACCUCGAGUGCCAGGCUACAAAUCUGGCUGUCGUGAUGCCUAAAAAGCAUUGCAUAGCAAGGGCCGGGCAAGACCGGUGCCAGCCGCCGCGGUAACACCGGCGGCUCGAGUGGUAACCGUUACUAUUGGGUCUAAAGGGUCUGUAGCCGGCCGGAUAAGUCUCUUGGGAAAUCCAGCAGCUCAACUGUUGGGCUUCCAGGAGAUACUGUCUGGCUCGAGGCCGGGAGAGGUGAGAGGUACUUCAGGGGUAGGGGUGAAAUCUUGUAAUCCUUGAAGGACCACCAGUGGCGAAGGCGUCUCACCAGAACGGACCUGACGGCAAGGGACGAAAGCUAGGGGCACGAACCGGAUUAGAUACCCGGGUAGUCCUAGCCGUAAACGAUACUCGCUAGGUGUCGGCCACGGUGCGACCGUGGUCGGUGCCGUAGGGAAGCCGUGAAGCGAGCCACCUGGGAAGUACGGCCGCAAGGCUGAAACUUAAAGGAAUUGGCGGGGGAG
rnacentral:rRNA from 1 species